AUGGAUUAGUCCUCCCAUUGAUGAUAACAACUAUCUUGGAAACUGAGACUUCAAAAAAGAUCAUAUGCAUUUAAUUCACACUUGAUAGAGAAAGUAAUAAUGUAGUCACUGCUUACUUAUCCGGUGGUCGACCGUCACUUGUGCAGUGACGUGCGUGUAAGAACUUGUGCCCUCUUAUGUAAUCAUCGACAAGAGCAUCAUCCUUCUUUUUUAAUCUUCAACAAUAAGGCUCAUUUUUUCUUUCUUUCCUUUUUACGAGUCAUCUAUCGUAAGCAAUCUUCUUUCGAGAAGAUUGAUACGUUCAAGAAGAUUGAUACGUUCAACAGUAGAGGACAUUAAUCCCAGACCAG
rnacentral:lncRNA from 1 species